rnacentral:rRNA from 1 species
AGCGAACGCUGGCGGCAGGCCUAACACAUGCAAGUCGAACGAACUCUUCGGAGUUAGUGGCGGACGGGUGAGUAACACGUGGGAACGUGCCUUUUGGUUCGGAAUAACUCAGGGAAACUUGUGCUAAUACCGAAUGUGCCCUUCGGGGGAAAGAUUUAUCGCCAUUAGAGCGGCCCGCGUCUGAUUAGCUAGUUGGUGAGGUAACGGCUCACCAAGGCGACGAUCAGUAGCUGGUCUGAGCGGAUGACCAGCCACACUGGGACUGAGACACGGCCCAGACUCCUACGGGAGGCAGCAGUGGGGAAUCUGGCGCAAUGGGCGAAAGCCUGACGCAGCCAUGCCGCGUGAAUGAUGAAGGUCUUAGGAUUGUAAAAUUCUUUCACCGGGGACGAUAAUGACGGGACCCGGAGAAGAAGCCCCGGCUAACUUCGU